UACGUAGGGGGCAAGCGUUGUCCGGAAUUAUUGGGCGCAAAGCGCGCGCAGGCGGUUAAUUAAGUUGGGUGUUUAAGCCCGGGGCUCAACCCCGGUUCGCAUCCAAAACUGGUUGACUUGAGUGUAGGAGAGGAAAGUGGAAUUCCACGUGUAGCGGUGAAAUGCGUAGAGAUGUGGAGGAACACCAGUGGCGAAGGCGACUUUCUGGCCUAUAACUGACGCUGAGGCGCGAAAGCGUGGGGAGCAAACAGG
rnacentral:rRNA from 1 species